AGCAUCCUGUGGCAUUGAAUGAAAUGUUCCGUAAUAUGUGAAAACAAAAACUCAUGUUUUCGUAAUAUGUGUGCAUUACGAGAGACACUGAGAAGGUUUUGAUUAUAUAGUCAUAUUUUGGAUACAGCAAGAAAUGAAAUGUUCAGACCAACGGAAACGAGAGACUUGAAUAAACAUAGAUCAGAGAGUGGUGGAGACAAGGAAAAUUGCCAGCGAUGUUGUGUGUCUUCUCUGUCCUACGAUGACAUUGCUGAGGAGGAGAGCGUCCCAGCUCAACCCUUAACCAGUGAAAGAUAUGCUGCUGCUAACCACGGACAUGCUACCUACGAGGUGGAGGAAGAUCCACAGGAGAGCUGUGUCGAUGACCACGCCAGCUGAGGAGACCAGAGAGGAGGUUGCAGAAGUCAUUGAGAGACCCAAACCCAAGGACCUGGAUGUCCACGACGAUGAGGAGGGUGACCUGGAGCCUAAUGGACAGGGGAUCCCAAAGUUGGCGUCAAAAAUCUGGGUAUCUGCAUAAGAACCUCACGUUCCCUUUUCAUCGGUUCACUUAUAAUAUUGCUGGUUCUUUUUCAUAUGUAAGGAUCCAAUUAUUGCAAUUACUUGACCCUUUUCUGUCUCUAACAUUUGAUACUGUUUCAAAUGUUUGGAUUCAUUUGACAUGUUUCGAUUGGUUUGUUGUGCCAUGGCCUGUAAAGCAGAACUGAUUGACACAGAACAGAAUCAAUGGUGUCUGUCUUACAACAUGUAUUAGUGAAACAUGAUCUUGCUAUGUGGUAGUUCCUUCCAUAAAGAACAGCAUGUGAAAAUUCUUAAUUGCUCUUUAUGCGUCAAAGCUCAUAGCCAACAGCUGUUUUUCAAUGACUUUUAUCGUGUUUUUUUUUGUUGUUGCUACUUUUACCAUUUAUAAAUGCAAAAUUAAAUUUAAAAAAUUUUUGUAAAUGCAAUAACAUUGUGCACUGAAAUGAUGUUGCUUUUAUUCUCCUCUUCAACUUCUCAGUAUUUAUGUGUUUAUGAAAGUUCUUAUUCAGAUUUUACACAAUAAUCAUUUCAUUGUUAGAUUUUUUACCUUUUGAAUUGAUUAUAUUUGAAGGUUUCUAAAAUAUGAAAGUAGUAGUUCACAGGGUUUAUCUCAUAGCUAUGUAUUUUAUUUGUUUAAACAUGUUUGUUUAGAGUUUUGUUUUCUCUAUGAAAUCAUGUUUGAGAUUUGGUGUUUGGAAUUUUAAGAAUAUUGUCAAUAGUUGGGAAAACAAUCAGUGUAAAUUAGAAAACUAACUUAAAUGUGAAAAUGAAACAAAAUUGAGAUGAUGAUGAGAGGUAUAAAAUGAAUUACAAUUAAGAAUGACUUCCAAUGAUUAUUUGAUGUACAGUGUCAGAUUUUCUUUAUUAUGUAAUUCGCAAUUGAAGAAAAUGAAAAUAUACUGCUUUAAUAAUGUACUGUGCUGUCAGUAAUGAUUUUGUAAGGAGACUAAAUUAUUGGCUCUAUUGAUGCUGUCGUGUU
rnacentral:lncRNA from 1 species